UACGAAGGGGGCUAGCGUUGCUCGGAAUCACUGGGCGUAAAGGGCGCGUAGGCGGACUUUUAAGUCGGGGGUGAAAGCCCAGGGCUCAACCCUGGAAUUGCCUUCGAUACUGGGAGUCUUGAGUUCGGAAGAGGUUGGUGGAACUGCGAGUGUAGAGGUGAAAUUCGUAGAUAUUCGCAAGAACACCAGUGGCGAAGGCGGCUCACUGGCCCGAUACUGACGCUGAGGCACGAAAGCGUGGGGAGCAAACAGG
rnacentral:rRNA from 1 species